CCUACGGGUGGCAGCAGUAGGGAAUAUUGCUCAAUGGGGGAAACCCUGAAGCAGCAACGCCGCGUGGAGGAUGAAGGUUUUCGGAUUGUAAACUCCUUUUGUUAGAGAAGAUAAUGACGGUAUCUAACGAAUAAGCACCGGCUAACUCCGUGCCAGCAGCCGCGGUAAUACGGAGGGUGCAAGCGUUACUCGGAAUUACUGGGCGUAAAGAGCGCGUAGGCGGGAUAGUAAGUCAGAUGUGAAAUCCUAGGGCUUAACCAUAGAACUGCAUUUGAAAAUGUUAUUCUAGAGUAUGGGAGAGGUAGGUGGAAUUCUUGGUGUAGGGGUGAAAUCCGUAGAGAUCAAGAAGAAUACUCAUUGCGAAGGCGACCUGCUAGAACAUAACUGACGCUGAUGCGCGAAAGCGUGGGGAGCAAACAGGAUUAGAUACCCUAGUAGUC
rnacentral:rRNA from 1 species